GCCUUAGUAGUGUAACGGUAAUACCCUCAGGCGUAAUCGAGAAGUCCAGGUUCGAGUCCUGGCGAAAGCA
rnacentral:tRNA from 1 species